rnacentral:rRNA from 1 species
AUUGAACGCUGGCGGAAUGCUUUACACAUGCAAGUCGAACGGCAGCACGGACUUCGGUCUGGUGGCGAGUGGCGAACGGGUGAGUAAUGUAUCGGAACGUGCCCAGUCGUGGGGGAUAACGUAGUGAAAAUUACGCUAAUACCGCAUACGAUCUAUGGAUGAAAGCGGGGGAUCGCAAGACCUCGCGCGAUUGGAGCGGCCGAUAUCAGAGUAGGUAGUUUGUGGGGUAAAGGCCCACCAAGCCAACGAUCUGUAGCUGGUCUGAGAGGACGACCAGACACACUGGAACUGCGACACGGUCCAGACUCCUACGGGAGGCAGCAGUGGGGAAUUUUGGACAAUGGGAGAAAGCCUGAUCCAGCCAUUCCGCGUGCAGGAUGAAGGCCCUCGGGUUGUAAACUGCUUUUGUACAGAACGAAAAGGUUUCUACUAAUACUAGGAGCUCAUGACGGUACUGUAAGAAUAAGCACCGGCUAACUACGUGCCAGCCGCCGCCGUAA